CAGAUGCUGAAACGAAACAGCACAUGAAAGUUUCUGACAGUUCAAAGCUCAUGAAUAUUUAAUGAGCAUCAGCUGGAGUGUUAUCCAUACAGACUGACAAACAGGAGAGAAUAAGAGUGGACCCCACUGAUAUUUCACCCCCACCUGCCCUGCCGUUAAGAACAAUGUGGGAGCUCCUUUAUGAGUGAAUGACUCCGUCCCCACAUUCACUAUCUCUCAUAACCUGCAGGACAAACAAAGAGCCAAGCACUUCCUAUUGCUUGCUUCAGUGAAGGUGCAUCUGAGUGUGAAGCAAUUUCUCCAAGGAGGACGUUGCUCCUCAAAAAAGCUGAAUGAGAAAGUAUUGGCAUUUCAGAAUUUUUACA